rnacentral:lncRNA from 1 species
UGCUGAACGGGAAAUUGUACGUGACAUGAAGGAAAAGCUUGCUUAUGUGGCUCUUGACUACGAGCAGGAACUUGAAACCGCUAGGAGCAGUUCCUCCAUUGAAAAGAACUAUGAGUUGCCAGAUGGACAGGUUAUUACCAUUGGUGCUGAGAGGUUCCGUUGCCCAGAGGUACUCUUCCAACCAUCAAUGAUUGGAAUGGAAGCUGCGGGUAUCCAUGAGACUACAUACAACUCCAUCAUGAAAUGUGAUGUAGAUAUUAGGAAGGACCUCUAUGGUAACAUUGUUCUCAGUGGUGGCUCCACCAUGUUCCCUGGUAUUGCUGAUCGGAUGAGCAAGGAAAUCACUGCUUUGGCUCCAAGCAGCAUGAAAAUUAAGGUUGUUGCACCACCUGAGAGGAAGUACAGUGUCUGGAUUGGAGGAUCCAUUCUUGCAUCCCUCAGCACAUUCCA